rnacentral:rRNA from 1 species
UACGGAGGGGGCUAGCGUUGUUCGGAAUUACUGGGCGUAAAGCGCACGUAGGCGGCUUUGUAAGUUAGAGGUGAAAGCCCAGGGCUUAACCCUGGAAUUGCCUUUAAGACUGCAUCGCUAGAAUUGUGGAGAGGUAAGUGGAAUUCCUGGUGUAGCGGUGAAAUGCGUAGAUAUCAGGAGGAACACCUGUGGCGAAAGCGGCUCACUGGACCAUAACUGACGCUGAUGCACGAAAGCUAGGGGAGCAAACAGG